ACGCUCGACACCUACGGGGGGCAGCAGUGGGGAAUAUUGCACAAUGGGGGAAACCCUGAUGCAGCGACGCCGCGUGAGUGAAGAAGUAUUUCGGUAUGUAAAGCUCUAUCAGCAGGGAAGAAAAUGACGGUACCUGACUAAGAAGCCCCGGCUAACUACGUGCUAGCAGCCGCGGUAAUCUGAGCGGGCUGGCAAGGC
rnacentral:rRNA from 1 species